CCUGCCUUUCUUUUUUAAGUUUAUUUUCUAAAUGCAGAACACUACUCGAUUUGCUGCAUUUUAGUCUUUUUUUUUUUUUUGUACAAAAUCUUUGUGGCUUUUUCUACCUGCAGAUCCAGAAGCGCCUUGCUAGUGGCCAGAACACAGUUGAAACAGCAUUCAGUUUUCUGCUUCGGGCAUAUGGGCACCGCCUGCAGACUGCACCGGUAUCCUUGCUUGGGUUUAUUAGCACAGUAACCCAUAUAAAUCAACUGAGGAUCGAGGCAAGGCAACCUUAUAAUCCAAGGCAUAUCACAGUCAAACAUCAGACGACACCCUGGCUUUGUGCACAGUGGGAGGUUGCCUUUAAACCUGGAUUGAAAGGGAAUACUCAUUACUCUUGGAUAGCUGCCAGUGUAAGUGAAGAGCCACUGCAGCUGAGGACUUGCGAGAUGGAAAUCAGAUGGAUGGAAAUUCAAAAGGCCAUUGCGAAAAGGAAGCCUUAAAAUGCAGAUUUCUCAGAAAAACCAUUGAUGGGGCCUUGCCUUGUGAUAAAAGGCAUCUUCAAUCAAUCUUAUCAAAACUUCCCAGUUGCCAAAUGGCCGUGGACCGUACUCAGUGUUUAAAUUCAUAUUUCUUCCUUCUUUAAGACUCUCUUCGGUGACGGGUAUUCUUGGGUGGAUAAUACGGAUUACGUUGUUAUUGCUUAAGAAUACGCGUAGUCGAGGAGAGUACUUUCUUCAGCAUCUCCAAGAAGCUUAAACCCAUUUGAUCUGAAAGGGCUGGCCUGCCUGGUUUCUUAUAUAUUGUGGGCAAUUAUAUACACUAAAGCUAUCACCAAAGUCCAUUUAUUAAGUAACCAGACAGAAUAAGAUUUGAAGUGGCAUUGCUUUUUUUACAAGUGUUCUUUUGAGAGAUUGUCUAAAAUGCCUGAUGUGAACAGUUUCCGCUUUUCAUGGAAUUUAGCUUUUAGAUAUCUUAUCUAGCUUUAAGAUUUUUGAAGCAGAUCUUUUUAAAGCCCUGUUAUGUGUACUGUGUACUGUUGUUAAUCUCACUGUGCCAAUCUUGUAUUAAGUGCUGAUCUUUAAAACAUAAAAAUAUAUAUGUUUGCCUUAAUUUGUGUAUUUAAGUACUGCUGAAAUGUAACUGUGCUAUGGCUUCUUGUCACAUUUGAAUGAUUGUUACAGAGGAUCUCUGCACCGUUUCUCCUUAUCUUUUCUGAUGGCUAAAAAUCCAUAAAAUAUUUUUUACAUUGAGUAGCUUAUUGCAGCAAAUGCAUUAGCUUAGUUAUUUCUGAGCAAACUGAUUUCAAAAUUAGAUUUAUUAUCCACAUUUCUGUGAUUACUGCAUAGCAAGAGCCAUGAAGCAAAAUGUUCACAAUGUGAGACAGAGUCUAAUUCUUGCCAUAAGUGGAUGUUGUUUAAGGCAGCAUUUAAUUUUUUUAAGUAAAGAAGUAAAAAAAAAAA